rnacentral:tRNA from 1 species
AUUAAGAUGGCAGAGCCUGGUAAAUGCAAAAGACCUAAGCCCUUUAAUUCAGAGGUUCAAAUCCUCUUCUUAAUU